rnacentral:snRNA from 1 species
GUGCCUUAAACUAAUGAGUAAGGAAAAUUACGGGCCUUGGUGACGCUUGGCUCAGCCUACGAAAAGCGGGUGCGCGUUUGCCGUGCUCGGUAGGUUCUAUUUUUGUAGAGGCACAGGUCGUCCCCAGGUUUGUCCUGCCUACUUUGCAGGAUACCAGGGAGUGAUGCGAUUUGCCUC